AUUCCAUUAUGUGGACAUCUCCUUUAAAGAUCCUUAUAUCUCUUCCAUGCUUCAUAAAGAUUCUCAUUAACCUUUGAUCUAAAAAAAAUCAAUUCAUUCCUCAAUUU